CAAAAAGGAUCAUGAAAACACAAACUACAAUCCUAGGACAUUAAUACAAAUCAACAAACAUGCACAUACACGCUCCCUCAAAUGGACAUGCACAAAAACGUACAUGUAAAAAAACAUGC